rnacentral:rRNA from 1 species
GCAGUGGAUGUCUAGGCUCGCACAUCGAUGAAGAACGCUGCGAACUGCGAUACGUAAUGCGAAUUGCAGGAUUCAGUGAGUCAUCGAAAUUUUGAACGCAUAUUGCACUUCCGGGUUAGUCCUGGAAGUAUGCCUGUAUCAGUGUCCGUACAUUAAACUUGACUUUCUUCCUUCCGUGUAGUCGGUGGAGGAGAUGUCAGAUGUGAAGUGUCUUGCGAUUGGUCUUCGGACCGGCUGCGAGUCCUUUUAAAUGUACUAAACUGAACUUCUCUUUGCUCGAAAAGUGGUGGCGUUGCUGGUUGUGAAGGCUGCUAUUGUGGCAAAUUGGCGACUGGUUUGUCUGCUGCGGCAUUAAUGGAAGAGUGUUCGAUUCGUGGUAUGGUUGGCUUCGGCUGAACAAUGCACUUAUUGGACGUUUUUCCUGCUGUGGCGUGAUGGACUGGUGAACCAUAGCUCGGUGGCUUGGCUUUUGAAUUGGCUUUGCUGUUGCGAAGUAGGGUGGCAGCUUCGGUUGUCGAGGGUCGAUCCAUUUGGGAACUUAAUGUGUACUUCGGUAUGCAUCUCAAUUGGACCUGAUAUCAGGCAAGAUUACCCGCUGAACUUAAGCAUAUCAAUAAGCGGAGGAA